rnacentral:rRNA from 1 species
UUGGAGGGCAAGUCUGGUGCCAGCAGCCGCGGUAAUUCCAGCUCCAAUAGCGUAUAUUAAAGUUGUUGCAGUUAAAAAGCUCGUAGUUGAAUUUCGGGAUUCGUCGGUUGGUCGGGCUUCACUGUCCGCACUGACCUGACGGGUUCCUACCUUCUGAAUAACCAGCAUGCUAUUAAGUUAGUGCGUUGGGGAAGCAGAGCUAUUACCUUGAAAAAAUUAGAGUGCUUAAAGCAGGCUUGUGCUUGAAUAGAUUAGCAUGGAAUAAUAAAAUAGGACGGCAUGGUUCUAUUUUGUUGGUUUCUAGGAUCACCGUAAUGAUUAAUAGGGAUAGUUGGGGGCAUUAGUAUUCAAUUGUCAGAGGUGAAAUUCUUGGAUUUAUUGAAGACUAACUUCUGCGAAAGCAUUUGCCAAGGAUGUUUCCAUUAAUCAAGAACGAAAGUUAGGGGAUCGAAGACGAUCAGAUACCGUCGUAGUCUUAACCAUAAACUAUGCCGACUAGGGAUCGGACGAUGUUAAUUUUUUAAUGACUCGUUCGGCGCCUUACGGGAAAC